ensembl:lncRNA
CUGAAGGCGAGUGGGGGGAGGCCUCUGGAGGGACGGCUGGGCUGGGUCCCUCCGUCCGGUGGGGUCCGGCGUCCAGGUGGGGCCGCGGUGUCGCCUGUGGCUGCGGGAAGGGGGCCAGAGCUUUGGAUCCUGGUGGAGCCGAGGCCUAGGUUCCAGCUCCCUUGGAAGAAAGCAGCUUUUGUGAAGUAGGAAGGAGGAAGCUCCAGGAACAGGAAUCUCACCUUGAAGAUCUCACUCCUCUGACCUCAGACUUCUCAACCACAGCUUUAGAGCAGAGGCAGGAAACUGCUAGAAAGGAGCAGGUCCCAGGUUUGCAUAGUCUGCAGUAGCAGUUCUUUAUUCUGCUCAGAAUGAGCAUUGCCUCACUAUCACCACAUCCAGAGGGCCUCUCCAUGAUGGUGAAAGGUCUGGACCAAGCUUCAGAAAAGAUAGCUGUACAUUCAACCUUCUCUGUACAUUCCCCAAAAGAACAGAAAAAGAAUAAAUCCCAGGUGAGCUCUUUUUCAUUUCUCACAUU